UAGGUCUUUAGGCUGGUGUCUUCUACUUGGACGAGACUUGAUCUGUAACACAGAGAACUGGCCUGGACCUGUAUGAGUACAAAAUUAAUACUGUUAGCAUUGAGACUCCAACGACGCUAGGCCAGUAUAAGAAAAGGAGCUGGAGUCUUUCGGGGCUAGGAUUCGGCUAUGCUUUGCAGGGCUUUUCAAUAUACAGAUUGCAAUGCCAGCCAUCUUUGAGGACAUUUUUGUACAUACCCACAAUUCUCUGCCCAUCUUCUGUGCGCAGUCGUAUGAUCUGCAUCUUUGAGCUGGACCCUCCAGGCAUUGCUGCCAGUACACUCUCGACCUUUCCCCAUACACUGAGGACAGAGCCGGCCAGUACGUGGUACUCCCGCGUCCUCAGUCCAAUCUCACAGGAAACCACUGCUCUUUGCUAGGUACCUUGCGAACACUCUGACUAGAAACCACAGGCAAACCAGUGAGAGCAAGAUUUGAGAAAGCAAAAAGAUUACUCUUCCUUUUGCACUCCACUGGCAGGCAACAAGGAUAUCUGGCACAGAGUGCUAAGAAAUCAUGGAAUACAAAAAUAGCAACUAACA